ACUCAAAGGAAUUGACGGGGGCCCGCACAAGCAGCGGAGCAUGUGGUUUAAUUCGACGCAACGCGAAGAACCUUACCUGGGCUUGACAUGUUCCUGACAGCCCCGGAAACGGGGUCUCCCUUCGGGGCAGGAUCACAGGUGGUGCAUGGCUGUCGUCAGCUCGUGUCGUGAGAUGUUGGGUUAAGUCCCGCAACGAGCGCAACCCCCGUCGCAUGUUGCCAGCAUUAGGUUGGGGACUCAUGCGAGACUGCCGGCGAGAAGCCGGAGGAAGGCGGGGAUGACGUCAAGUCAUCAUGCCCCUUACGUCCAGGGCUACACACGUGCUACAUUGGCGUAUACAGAGGGCUGCGAUACCGCGAGGUGGAGCGAAUCCCUCAAAGUACGUCUCGGUUCGGAUUGGAGGCUGAAACUCGCCUCCAUGAAGGUGGAGUUGCUAGUAAUCGCGGAUCAGCACUGCCGCGGUGAAUACGUUCCCGGGCCUUGUACACACCGCCCGU
rnacentral:rRNA from 1 species